CUGUAGACAUAUGGUGGUGGAGGAGAUUUGUAGUCAACCUUAGGGGAAGGUGAGUAGUAUGGUGGUGGAGGAGAUUUGUAGUCAACCUUAGGGGAAGGUGAGUAGUAUGGUGGUGGUGGUGAACUAUAGACGUAUGGUGGUGGUGGAGAUUUGUAAUCUACCUUAGGGGCAGGUGAGUAGUAUGGUGGUGGGGGUGAGCUGUAGACAUACGGUGGUGGGGGAGAUUUGUAGUCUACCUUCGGGGAAGGUGAGUAGUAUGGUGGUGGUGGUGAGCUAUAGACGUACGGUGGUGGAGGAGAUUUGUAGUCUACUUUAGGGGAAGGUGAGUAGUAUGGUGGUGGUGGUGAGCUGUAGACGUACGGUGGUGGGGGAGAUUUGUAGUCUACCUUAGGGGAAGGUGAGUAGUAUGGUGGUGGUGGUGAGCUGUAGACGUACGGUGGUGGGGGAGACUUGUAAACUACUUUAGGAGAAGGAGAGUAGUAUGGUGGUGGUGGUGAGCUGUAGACGUACGGUGGUGGGGGAGACUUGUAGACUACCUUAGGAGAAGGAGAGUAGUAUGGUGGUGGUGGAGAACUGUAGACAUACGGUGGUGGAGGAGACUUGUAGACUACCUUAGGAGAAGGAGAAUAAUAUGGUGGUGGUGGAGAACUGUAAACGUAUGGUGGUGGGGGAGACUUGUAGACUACCUUAGGAGAAGGAGAGUAGUAUGGUGGUGGUGGAGAACUGUAGACAUACGGUGGUGGGGGAGACUUGUAGACUACCUUAGGAGAAGGAGAAUAGUAUGGAGGUGGUGGAGAACUGUAAACAUACGGUGGUGGGGGAGACUUGUAGACUACCUUAGGAGAAGGAGAGUAGUAUGGUGGUGGUGGAGAACUAUAGACAUACGGUGGUGGGGGAGACUUGUAGUGUACCUUAGGGGAAGGAGAGUAAUAUGGUGGUGGUGGAGAACUGUAGACAUACGGUGGUGGGGGAGACUUGUAGUGUACCUUAGGAGAAGGAGAGUGAUAUGGUGGUGGUGGAGAACUGUAAACGUACGGUGGUGGGGAGGACUUGUACACAACCUUUGGAGAUGGAGAAUAACAUGGAGGAGGUGGUGGACAGACACAUACAUGAGGGUGUGGUGGAGAUUUGUAUAGAACCUUAGGGGAUGGUGCGUGGUAUGGUGAUGGAGGAGACUUGUAGUAUACUUUAGGAGAAGGGGAGUAGUAUGGUGGUGGUGGAGAACUGUAAACGUAUGGUGGUGGGGGAGACUUGUAGACUACCUUAGGAGAAGGAGAGUAGUAUGGUGGUGGUGGAGAACUGUAGACAUACGGUGGUGGGGGAGACUUGUAGACUACCUUAGGAGAAGGAGAGUAGUAUGGAGGUGGUGGAGAACUGUAAACAUACGGUGGUGGGGGAGACUUGUAGACUACCUUAGGAGAAGGAGAGUAGUAUGGUGGUGGUGGAGAACUGUAGACAUACGGUGGUGGGGGAGACUUGUAUAAAACCUUUGGUGAAGGAGAGUAGUACGGUGGUGGUGGAGAACUGUAAACAUAUGGUGGUGGAGGAGACUUGUAGUCUACCUUAGGGGAUGGUGAAUAGUAUGGUGGUGGAGGAGAACUGUAAACAUAUGGUGGAGGAGGAGAUUUGUAUACAACCUUUGGAGAUGGCGAGUAGUAUGGUGGUGGAGGAGAACUGUAAACAUAUGGUGGAGGAGGAGAUUUGUAGUCUACCUUAGGGGAUGGUGAGUAGUAUGGUGGUGGUGGGGAACUGUAAACAUAUGGUGGAGGAGGAGACUUGUAUACAACCUUUGGUGAAGGUGUGUAGUAUGGGGGUGGUGGGGAGCUGUAGACGUACGGUGGUGGGGGAGAUUUGUAGACUAUCUUAGGAGAAGGUGAGUAGUAUGGUGGUGGUGGUGAGCUGUAGACGUAUGGUGGUGGUGGAGACUUGUAGUCUACCUUAGGUGAUGGUGAGUAGUAUGGUGGUGGUGGAGAACUGUAAACAUAUGGUGGAGGAGGAGAUUUGUAGUCUACCUUCGGGGUUGGUGAGUAGUAUGGUGGUGGUGGGGAACUGUAAACAUAUGGUGGAGGAGGAGACUUGUAUACAACCUUAGGGGAUGGAGAGUAGUAUGGUGGUGGUGGAGAACUGUAGACAUACGGUGGUGGGGGAGAUUUGUAGUCUACCUUAGGGGAAGGUGAGUAGUAUGGGGGUGGUGGGGAGCUGUAGACGUACGGUGGUGGGGGAGAUUUGUAGACUAUCUUAGGAGAAGGUGAGUAGUAUGGUGGUGGUGGUGAGCUGUAGACGUAUGGUGGUGGUGGAGACUUGUAGUCUACCUUAG
rnacentral:lncRNA from 1 species